rnacentral:rRNA from 1 species
UACGGAGGGUGCGAGCGUUGUCCGGAAUCAUUGGGCGUAAAGGGCGCGUAGGUGGCCCGGUCAGUUCGUGGUGAAAGCGCGGGGCUCAACCCCUGCGUCGGCCAUGAAUACUGCCGCGGCUGGAGCACUGUAGAGGCAGGCGGAAUUCCGGGUGUAGCGGUGGAAUGCGUAGAGAUCCGGAAGAACACCGGUGGCGAAGGCGGCCUGCUGGGCAGUUGCUGGACACUGAGGCGCGACAGCGUGGGGAGCAAACAGG